rnacentral:rRNA from 1 species
GAUGAACGCUGACAGAAUGCUUAACACAUGCAAGUCGAUGGGGAAGUGGUGCUUGCACCAUGGCAACCAUGGCGGACGGGUGAGUAACGCGUAAGGGACUUACCUGCAGGACUGGGAUAACAGGGGGAAACUCCUGACAAGACCGGAUAAUGUCAUGGAGCUGCAUGGCUUUAUGAUGAAAGGAGACGCCUGCGGAGAGCCUUGCGUCCUAUUAGCUAGUUGGUGAGGUAAUGGCUCACCAAGGCGAAGAUAGGUAGCCGGCCUGAGAGGGUGGACGGCCACAAGGGGACUGAGAUACGGCCCUUACUCCUACGGGAGGCAGCAGUGGAGAAUAUUGGACCAUGGGGGCAACCCUGAUCCAGCAAUUCUGUGUGCACGAAGAAGGUUUUCGGAUUGUAAAGUGCUUUCAGCAGGGAAGAAGUAAGUGACGGUACCUGCAGAAGAAGCGACGGCUAAAUACGUG